rnacentral:lncRNA from 1 species
AUAUUACUAUUUUAUAGUAAAUAUUACUAUAUUGUAUUAGAUUUCAGUUUUUUUAUAAUUUUUUUUUAAAAAUGGAUCACAUAUCCGGUUAUAAUCUAGAUUUUAACGGAUAUCCGUGACAACUGGUUACUUGCGAAACAAAUACAGAUUUUUUUUUCAAACAAAUUAUUCCGAUGGAGCAAAUCAGAUAUUCAGAUCAC